GACGAACGCUGGCGGCGCGCCUAACACAUGCAAGUCGAACGAGCGAGAGAGAGCUUGCUUUCUCGAGCGAGUGGCGAACGGGUGAGUAACGCGUGAGGAACCUGCCUCAAAGAGGGGGACAACAGUUGGAAACGACUGCUAAUACCGCAUAAGCCCACGACCCGGCAUCGGGUAGAGGGAAAAUGAGCAAUCCGCUUUGAGAUGGCCUCGCGUCCGAUUAGCUAGUUGGUGAGGUAACGGCCCACCAAGGCGACGAUCGGUAGCCGGACUGAGAGGUUGGACGGCCACAUUGGGACUGAGACACGGCCCAGACUCCUGCGGGAGGCAGCAGAGGGGAAUAUUGCAAAAUGGGGGAAACCCUGAUGCAGCGACGCCGCGUGGAGGAAGAAGGUCUUCGGAUUGUAAACUCCUGUUGUUGAGGAAGAUAAUGACGGUACUCAACAAGGAAGUGACGGCUAACUACGUG
rnacentral:rRNA from 1 species